rnacentral:rRNA from 1 species
AUGGUAAGAGGAGCGAAGCGAGUCAAACCACCCAAAAGAAGCAGUGGGAUUAAGUGAUGGGGUGACUGCGUACCUUUUGUAUAAUGGGUCAGCGACUUAUAUUUUGUAGCGAGGUUAACUGAAUAAGGGAGCCGAAGGGAAACCGAGUCUUAACUGGGCGAAGAGUUGCAAGGUAUAGACCCGAAACCCGGUGAUCUAGCCAUGGGCAGGUUGAAGGUUGGGUAACACUAACUGGAGGACCGAACCGACUAAU